AUUGAACGCUGGCGGCAGGCUUAACACAUGCAAGUCGAGCGGGGUGAUGGUGCUUGCACUAUCACUUAGCGGCGGACGGGUGAGUAAUGCUUAGGAAUCUGCCUAUUAGUGGGGGACAACAUCUCGAAAGGGAUGCUAAUACCGCAUACGUCCUACGGGAGAAAGCAGGGGAUCACUUGUGACCUUGCGCUAAUAGAUGAGCCUAAGUCGGAUUAGCUAGUUGGUGGGGUAAAGACCUACCAAGACGACGAUCUGUAGCGGGGCUGAGAGGAUGAUCCGCCACACUGGGACUGAGACACGGCCCAGACUCCUACGGGAGGCAGCAGUGGGGAAUAUUGGACAAUGGGGGGAACCCUGAUCCAGCCAUGCCGCGUGUGUGAAGAAGGCCUUAUGGUUGUAAAGCACUUUAAGCGAGGAGGAGGCUCUUUUGGUUAAUACCCAAGAUGAGUGGACGUUACUCGCAGAAUAAGCACCGGCUAACUCUGUGCCAGCAGCCGCGGUAA
rnacentral:rRNA from 1 species